rnacentral:rRNA from 1 species
AGCUCGUGUCGUGAGAUGUUGGGUUAAGUCCCGCAACGAGCGCAACCCUUGAUCUUAGUUGCCAGCAUUCAGUUGGGCACUCUAAGGUGACUGCCGGUGACAAACCGGAGGAAGGUGGGGAUGACGUCAAAUCAUCAUGCCCCUUAUGACCUGGGCUACACACGUGCUACAAUGGAUGGUACAAAGGGCUGCAAACCUGCGAAGGUAAGCGAAUCCCAUAAAGCCAUUCUCAGUUCGGAUUGCAGGCUGCAACUCGCCUGCAUGAAGCCGGAAUCGCUAGUAAUCGCGGAUCAGCAUGCCGCGGUG